AUUAUUGAAGGGCUUAACAAGCAGCAACCUGCACUGGCUCAUUCAUUUUCUAUGAGAUACAGAUGCAGCUACCGUGAUGCAUCUCAUUCAAUGGCUGUCCCUGGUGAUUACCAUUAUGCAACUCACCCCUUUUCUCUUCCUCUUUCAGUUCCUCUUCCAAAUGAACUAAAAGCAGCCUUCUCCUUUUUCUGCAAGUCCUUAAAGAAACCCAGUAGCAAUUUUCCAGCUGCUCCCUGAUAAAUGACUGGGAGCAUGAUCAUGCUUGCUUUAACAUUUUGUAGAUUGUUAGCAUGGUUACAGUGUACUGAACUUUGUAGUUAGAUUCUGAAGCUUCCUGGAAGCUUGAAUGAUAAAAUGGUUCCUUGUAAGUGUGGAUUUUCUAUUUUGUUAUGCCACUUGUA
rnacentral:misc_RNA from 1 species